ACCAACCCCCUUUAUUUUUUUUUUUUUCCCCCCCCCUCCCCACCGUAUCGUAGGGCGCAAGCGUUGUCCGGAAUUAUUGGGCGUAAAGAGCUCGUAGGCGGUUUGUCGCGUCUGCUGUGAAAGCCCGGGGCUCAACCCCGGGUCUGCAGUGGGUACGGGCAGACUAGAGUGCAGUAGGGGAGACUGGAAUUCCUGGUGUAGCGGUGAAAUGCGCAGAUAUCAGGAGGAACACCGAUGGCGAAGGCAGGUCUCUGGGCUGUUACUGACGCUGAGGAGCGAAAGCAUGGGGAGCGAACAGGAUUAGAUACCCUGGUAGUCCAUGCCGUAAACGUUGGGCACUAGGUGUGGGGGACAUUCCACGUUCUCCGCGCCGUAGCUAACGCAUUAAGUGCCCCGCCUGGGGAGUACGGCCGCAAGGCUAAAACUCAAAGGAAUUGACGGGGGCCCGCACAAGCGGCGGAGCAUGCGGAUUAAUUCGAUGCAACGCGAAGAACCUUACCAAGGCUUGACAUUCACCGGACUACCCCAGAGAUGGGGUUUCCCUUCGGGGUCGGUGGACAGGUGGUGCAUGGUUGUCGUCAGCUCGUGUCGUGAGAUGUUGGGUUAAGUCCCGCAACGAGCGCAACCCUCGUUCUAUGUUGCCAGCACGUGAUGGUGGGGACUCAUAGGAGACUGCCGGGGUCAACUCGGAGGAAGGUGGGGAUGACGUCAAAUCAUCAUGCCCCUUAUGUCUUGGGCUUCACGCAUGCUACAAUGGCCGGUACAAAGGGUUGCGAUACUGUGAGGUGGAGCUAAUCCCAAAAAGCCGGUCUCAGUUCGGAUUGAGGUCUGCAACUCGACCUCAUGAAGUCGGAGUCGCUAGUAAUCGCAGAUCAGCAACGCUGCGGUGAAUACGUUCCCGGGCCUUGUACACACCGCCCGUCAAGUCACGAAAGUUGGUAACACCCGAAGCCGGUGGCCUAACCCCUUGUGGGAGGGAGCCGUCGAAGGUGGGACUGGCGAUUGGGACUAAGUCGUAACAAGGUAGCCGUACCGGAACUCGUGAGAGACCCCCCUCCCAUAAUAUAAAAGGGGGGU
rnacentral:rRNA from 1 species